rnacentral:rRNA from 1 species
UUGAGCAAUCAAGGGAGUGGCGGACGGGUGAGUAACACGUGGGUACCUACCCCAAGGUGAGGAAUACCGGCGAGAAAUCGCCGACAAUACCGCAUAGGCUUCGUAAGAAGCAAAGCUCGCAAGGGCGCCAUGGGAAGGGCCUGCGGCCGAUUAGCUAGUUGGUGAGGUAAAAGCUCACCAAGGCGACGAUCGGUAGCUGGUCUGAGAGGAUGAUCAGCCACACUGGGAUUGAGAACGGCCCAGACUCCUACGGGGGGCAGCAGUGAGGAAUUUUCGUCAAUGGGGGCAACCCUGAACGAGCAACGCCGCGUGCAGGAAGAAGGUUUUCGGA